rnacentral:rRNA from 1 species
GAUGAACGCUGGCGGCGUGCUUAACACAUGCAAGUCGAACGAAGCACUUAUGAUUCUUCGGAAAAGGAAUUGACUGAGUGGCGGACGGGUGAGUAACGCGUGGGUAACCGUCCUUAUACAGGGGGAUAACCGCUAGAAAUGACUGCUAAUACCGGAUAACCUCCUCUGGCCGCAUUGCCAAGACGGAAGAGAUUUAUCGGGAUAAGAGGGACCAGGGUCUAAUAAGCUAGUUGGUAAGGUAAGGGCUCACCAAGGCGACGAUCAGCAGCCGGCUUGAGAGAGUGAACGGCCACAUUGGGACUGAGCCACGGCCCAAACUCCUACGGGAGGCAGCAGUGGGGAAUAUUGCACAAUGGGGGAAACCCUGAAGCAGCAACGCCGCGUAAAGGAAGAAGUAUUUCGGUAUGUAAACUUCUAUCAGCAGGGAAGAAAAUGACGGUACCUGACUAAGAAGCCCCGGCUAACUACGAGCCAGCCGCCGCCGUAA